rnacentral:tRNA from 11 species
GGGCCGUUGGAGCAAGCUGGCAGCUCACCUGGUUCUCAGCCAGGAGGUUACGGGUUCGAGCCCCGUACGGCCUA